rnacentral:rRNA from 1 species
CUCAACCUAGGAAUGGCAUUCCAAACUGGCGGGCUCGAGUCCGGGAGAGGGAGGUGGAAUUCCCCGUGUAGCGGUGAAAUGCGUAGAUACGGGGAGGAACACCGGUGGCGAAGGCGACCUCCUGGCCCGGUACUGACGCUGAGGUGCGAAAGCGUGGGUAGCGAACGGGAUUAGAUACCCCGGUAGUCCACGCCGUAAACGAUGAGGACUAGGUGUGGGGCGGAUUAUCCCGCUCCGUGCCGAAGCCAACGCGUUAAGUCCUCCGCCUGGGGAGUACGGCCGCAAGGCUGAAACUCAAAGGAAUUGACGGGGGCCCGCACAAGCGGUGGAGCAUGUGGUUUAAUUCGAUGCAACGCGAAGAACCUUACCGGGGCUUGACAUCAUCCGGGAUCUGCUAGAGAUAGCGGAGUGCCUUCGGGAGCCG